UAUCUCUACUCUUAUACUCUAUGAUUGCUCGUAAAAACAAUAGACGAAUCUCAAAGAUUCCCUGGAAAUAAUAAAAUAAAAUAAAAUGAUAAUAAAAACAAUUUUUGCAUAUGUGCAUCAUUCAUACAUCAUGUUGCAGUUCAUAAAUCUAAGACCAAUAAACUCAUCAUUGUUACUUGAACCUUCACAGAAUAAUCAUCAUUGCCAAACUGACUUCUCAA
rnacentral:lncRNA from 1 species